GGAAAUACAUCCAUGAAAAUACAGCUAAGACUAACAAAAAACUACUCAGCAUAAAUCUAUUUUACCUUUAUGUAAGUAUUUAGAUUAAGUCCAGUAUUUUUGCUCCUACAUUAGGAUGAAUACAGACCUGGGGAUAUAUGAAACAGCAUGUUAAUUUUCAGUGAUUUUCUCUCUGCUCUUUCUAGCUCACAACUGUGAGAAUUCAACACAACUAGAAGCAAGAAAAUAAUUCCCACCAACUCUGAUUAUUUUAAAGUAAAGUAAGGCAUACCAAGAAGGAAUGCAAACAAGUAUAUAUCAGUUUUCAGUAUCUUUUAGAUCUUUCCACAGAAAGCUUUUACCAUGAGCUCCCUGUAAGAUCACAUCCACUGAGCAGAAGCCAUCUUUACUUAGAGAUGUUUACAUCACAUUUACUAAGCCUUCUAGAACACUGAAACCAAACUCCUCCCUUUGCUAAACAUUGAUAGGUCCUCUUGCCUAGAGAACAAUAGUUUGAGUAGUUGUAUAUGCAGCUGAGAGGACAGUAUUUUUUUGUCUUCAGUUGAUUUACAGAUACCGCACGUGGAUCAAGUUGUUUUUGACUUACACCAAAAUAGCUUCAAAUGCAGGUGCCAGGGACUAUCAGCACAGUAGGAAAAAAAACAUUUUAGAAGAGCUUUCUUACCUGGAGCAAUAAAUCCACAAUCAAUCGUACGUGAACAAACAUGAGCAGGUAAAUAGAAAGGUUCUGCAAUAGCAGCUUCAUUCUUUGGAAACUGAUAAAAUGUGCAUGCAAAAAGAAGAGCUGCUAAGGGACUUUACUAUUAUUAUUUAUAUUUCAAUAUUUUUGCUUGGUGACUAAUACCUAGGUUAACUGUAUUGUCUGGAAAAUAACUAUUAACUGUAGAUGUGUGCA
rnacentral:lncRNA from 1 species